CUCUAAUACAAAUUUUGAGAUUAUGUGUUUUAAGGAAUACAUACAGUAAAAGUAUUAGUAUUAAAGAGAUUUAUUCCUUCCUAAUAUAGGUAAAAAAGUAUCAAUAAAAUGUGUAUUAGUAAAAAAAUUUCGAACAUACACAUUUUAU
ncrna:unclassified sequences RT-14 RNA